rnacentral:rRNA from 1 species
UGAGGAAUAUUGGUCAAUGGGCGGGAGCCUGAACCAGCCAAGCCGCGUGAGGGAAGAAGGCCCUAUGGGUCGUAAACCUCUUUUGUCAGGGAACAAAAGCGAGUAUGUAUACUAGUCUGAGUGUACCUGAAGAAAAAGCAUCGGCUAACUCCGUGCCAGCAGCCGCGGUAAUACGGAGGAUGCGAGCGUUAUCCGGAUUUAUUGGGUUUAAAGGGUGCGUAGGCGGCGAUGCAAGUCAGCGGUAAAAGCCCGGGGCUCAACCCCGGCGAGCCGUUGAAACUGCAGUGCUAGAGAAGGCGAGAGGUACGCGGAAUGCGCAGUGUAGCGGUGAAAUGCUUAGAUAUUGCGCAGAACUCCGAUUGCGAAGGCAGCGUACUGGCGCCUGACUGACGCUGAGGCACGAAAGCGUGGGGAUCGAACAGGGUUAGAUACCC